GACGAACCGUGCGAACGUUAUUCGGAAUCACUGGGCUUAAAGGGUGCGUAGGCGGGUUGCCAAGUCUGUGGUGAAAUCCUCCAGCUUAACUGGAGAACUGCCGUGGAUACUGGCGACCUCGAGGGGUGUAGGGGCUUGCGGAACUGUGCGUGGAGCGGUGAAAUGCGUUGAUAUGCACAGGAACUCCGGUGGCGAAAGCGGCGAGCUGGACACCUUCUGACGCUGAGGCACGAAAGCUAGGGGAGCAAACGGG
rnacentral:rRNA from 1 species